rnacentral:rRNA from 1 species
CAGAGGGGGCAAGCGUUGUUCGGAAUUACUGGGCGUAAAGGGCGCGUAGGCGGCCUGCUAAGUCGAACGUGAAAUCCCUGGGCUCAACCCAGGAACUGCGUCCGAUACUGGUUGGCUUGAAUCCGGGAGAGGGAUGUGGAAUUCCAGGUGUAGCGGUGAAAUGCGUAGAUAUCUGGAGGAACACCGGUGGCGAAGGCGACAUCCUGGACCGGCAUUGACGCUGAGGCGCCGAAAGCCAGGGGAGCAAACGGGAUUAGAUACCCCGGUAGUCCUGGCCCUAAACGAUGAAUGCUUGGUGUGGUGGGUAUCGAUCCCUACCGUGCCGAAGCUAACGCAUUAAGCAUUCCGCCUGGGGAGUACGGUCGCAAGGCUG